AUUGAACGCUGGCGGCAGGCCUAACACAUGCAAGUCGAACGAGUGGCGGACGGGUGAGUAAUGUCUGGGAAACUGCCUGAUGGAGGGGGAUAACUACUGGAAACGGUAGCUAAUACCGCAUACUAUCGGAUGUACCCAUAUGGGAUUAGCUAGUGGGUGGGGUAACGGCUCACCAAGGCGACGAUCCCUAGCUGGUCUGAGAGGAUGACCAGCCACACUGGAACUGAUACACGGUCCAGACUCCUACGGGAGGCAGCAGUGGGGAAGAUUGCACAAUGGGGGCAAGCCUGAUGCAGCCAUGCCGCGUGUAUGAAGAAGGCCUUAGGGUUGUAAAGUACUUUCAGCGGGGAGGCGUUACCCGCAGAAGAAGCACCGGCUAACUCCGUGCCAGCAGCCGCGGUAAUAC
rnacentral:rRNA from 1 species